AGUCGAGCGAAUGGAUUAAGAGCUUGCUCUUAUGAAGUUAGCGGCGGACGGGUGAGUAACACGUGGGUAACCUGCCCAUAAGACUGGGAUAACUCCGGGAAACCGGGGCUAAUACCGGAUAACAUUUUGAACUGCAUGGUUCGAAAUUGAAAGGCGGCUUCGGCUGUCACUUAUGGAUGGACCCGCGUCGCAUUAGCUAGUUGGUGAGGUAACGGCUCACCAAGGCAACGAUGCGUAGCCGACCUGAGAGGGUGAUCGGCCACACUGGGACUGAGACACGGCCCAGACUCCUACGGGAGGCAGCAGUAGGGAAUCUUCCGCAAUGGACGAAAGUCUGACGGAGCAACGCCGCGUGAGUGAUGAAGGCUUUCGGGUCGUAAAACUCUGUUGUUAGGGAAGAACAAGUGCUAGUUGAAUAAGCUGGCACCUUGACGGUACCUAACCAGAAAGCCACGGCUAACUACGUGCCAGCAGCCGCGGUAAUACGUAGGUGGCAAGCGUUAUCCGGAAUUAUUGGGCGUAAAGCGCGCGCAGGUGGUUUCUUAAGUCUGAUGUGAAAGCCCACGGCUCAACCGUGGAGGGUCAUUGGAAACUGGGAGACUUGAGUGCAGAAGAGGAAAGUGGAAUUCCAUGUGUAGCGGUGAAAUGCGUAGAGAUAUGGAGGAACACCAGUGGCGAAGGCGACUUUCUGGUCUGUAACUGACACU
rnacentral:rRNA from 2 species